rnacentral:rRNA from 1 species
GACGAACGCUGGCGGCGUGCUUAACACAUGCAAGUCGAACGGAAAGGCCCUGCUUUUGUGGGGUGCUCGAGUGGCGAACGGGUGAGUAACACGUGAGUAACCUGCCCUUGACUUUGGGAUAACUUCAGGAAACUGGGGCUAAUACCGGAUAGGAGCUCCUGCUGCAUGGUGGGGGUUGGAAAGUUUCGGCGGUUGGGGAUGGACUCGCGGCUUAUCAGCUUGUUGGGGGGGUAGUGGCUUACCAAGGCUUUGACGGGUAGCCGGCCUGAGAGGGUGACCGGCCAAAUUGGGACUGAGAUACGGCCCAGACUCCAACGGGAGGCAGCAGUGGGGAAUAUUGCACAAUGGGCGGAAGCCUGAUGCAGCAAGGCCGGGUGCGGGAUGACGGCCUUCGGGUUGUAAACCGCUUUAGCAUGUGACGAAGCGUGAGUGACGGUAAUGGGUAAAGAAGCACCGGCUAACUACGUG